rnacentral:rRNA from 1 species
GGGUUGUGAGGUUAAGCGACUAAGCGUACACGGUGGAUGCCCUGGCAGUCAGAGGCGAUGAAGGACGUGCUAAUCUGCGAUAAGCGUCGGUAAGGUGAUAUGAACCGUUAUAACCGGCGAUUUCCGAAUGGGGAAACCCAGUGUGUUUCGACACACUAUCAUUAACUGAAUCCAUAGGUUAAUGAGGCGAACCGGGGGAACUGAAACAUCUAAGUACCCCGAGGAAAAGAAAUCAACCGAGAUUCCCCCAGUAGCGGCGAGCGAACGGGGAGCAGCCCAGAGCCUGAAUCAGUGUGUGUGUUAGUGGAAGCGUCUGGAAAGGCGCGCGAUACAGGGUGACAGCCCCGUACACAAAAAUGCACAUGCUGUGAGCUCGAUGAGUAGGGCGGGACACGUGGUAUCCUGUCUGAAUAUGGGGGGACCAUCCUCCAAGGCUAAAUACUCCUGACUGACCGAUAGUGAACCAGUACCGUGAGGGAAAGGCGAAAAGAACCCCGGCGAGGGGAGUGAAAAAGAACCUGAAACCGUGUACGUACAAGCAGUGGGAGCACGCUUAGGCGUGUGACUGCGUACCUUUUGUAUAAUGGGUCAGCGACUUAUAUUCUGUAGCAAGGUUAACCGAAUAGGGGAGCCGAAGGGAAACCGAGUCUUAACUGGGCGUUAAGUUGCAGGGUAUAGACCCGAAACCCGGUGAUCUAGCCAUGGGCAGGUUGAAGGUUGGGUAACACUAACUGGAGGACCGAACCGACUAAUGUUGAAAAAUUAGCGGAUGACUUGUGGCUGGGGGUGAAAGGCCAAUCAAACCGGGAGAUAGCUGGUUCUCCCCGAAAGCUAUUUAGGUAGCGCCUCGUGAAUUCAUCUCCGGGGGUAGAGCACUGUUUCGGCAAGGGGGUCAUCCCGACUUACCAACCCGAUGCAAACUGCGAAUACCGGAGAAUGUUAUCACGGGAGACACACGGCGGGUGCUAACGUCCGUCGUGAAGAGGGAAACAACCCAGACCGCCAGCUAAGGUCCCAAAGUCAUGGUUAAGUGGGAAACGAUGUGGGAAGGCCCAGACAGCCAGGAUGUUGGCUUAGAAGCAGCCAUCAUUUAAAGAAAGCGUAAUAGCUCACUGGUCGAGUCGGCCUGCGCGGAAGAUGUAACGGGGCUAAACCAUGCACCGAAGCUGCGGCAGCGACACUAUGUGUUGUUGGGUAGGGGAGCGUUCUGUAAGCCUGUGAAGGUGUACUGUGAGGUAUGCUGGAGGUAUCAGAAGUGCGAAUGCUGACAUAAGUAACGAUAAAGCGGGUGAAAAGCCCGCUCGCCGGAAGACCAAGGGUUCCUGUCCAACGUUAAUCGGGGCAGGGUGAGUCGACCCCUAAGGCGAGGCCGAAAGGCGUAGUCGAUGGGAAACAGGUUAAUAUUCCUGUACUUGGUGUUACUGCGAAGGGGGGACGGAGAAGGCUAUGUUGGCCGGGCGACGGUUGUCCCGGUUUAAGCGUGUAGGCUGGUUUUCCAGGCAAAUCCGGAAAAUCAAGGCUGAGGCGUGAUGACGAGGCACUACGGUGCUGAAGCAACAAAUGCCCUGCUUCCAGGAAAAGCCUCUAAGCAUCAGGUAACAUCAAAUCGUACCCCAAACCGACACAGGUGGUCAGGUAGAGAAUACCAAGGCGCUUGAGAGAACUCGGGUGAAGGAACUAGGCAAAAUGGUGCCGUAACUUCGGGAGAAGGCACGCUGAUAUGUAGGUGAAGCGACUUGCUCGUGGAGCUGAAAUCAGUCGAAGAUACCAGCUGGCUGCAACUGUUUAUUAAAAACACAGCACUGUGCAAACACGAAAGUGGACGUAUACGGUGUGACGCCUGCCCGGUGCCGGAAGGUUAAUUGAUGGGGUUAGCGCAAGCGAAGCUCUUGAUCGAAGCCCCGGUAAACGGCGGCCGUAACUAUAACGGUCCUAAGGUAGCGAAAUUCCUUGUCGGGUAAGUUCCGACCUGCACGAAUGGCGUAAUGAUGGCCAGGCUGUCUCCACCCGAGACUCAGUGAAAUUGAACUCGCUGUGAAGAUGCAGUGUACCCGCGGCAAGACGGAAAGACCCCGUGAACCUUUACUAUAGCUUGACACUGAACAUUGAGCCUUGAUGUGUAGGAUAGGUGGGAGGCUUUGAAGUGUGGACGCCAGUCUGCAUGGAGCCGACCUUGAAAUACCACCCUUUAAUGUUUGAUGUUCUAACGUUGACCCGUAAUCCGGGUUGCGGACAGUGUCUGGUGGGUAGUUUGACUGGGGCGGUCUCCUCCUAAAGAGUAACGGAGGAGCACGAAGGUUGGCUAAUCCUGGUCGGACAUCAGGAGGUUAGUGCAAUGGCAUAAGCCAGCUUGACUGCGAGCGUGACGGCGCGAGCAGGUGCGAAAGCAGGUCAUAGUGAUCCGGUGGUUCUGAAUGGAAGGGCCAUCGCUCAACGGAUAAAAGGUACUCCGGGGAUAACAGGCUGAUACCGCCCAAGAGUUCAUAUCGACGGCGGUGUUUGGCACCUCGAUGUCGGCUCAUCACAUCCUGGGGCUGAAGUAGGUCCCAAGGGUAUGGCUGUUCGCCAUUUAAAGUGGUACGCGAGCUGGGUUUAGAACGUCGUGAGACAGUUCGGUCCCUAUCUGCCGUGGGCGCUGGAGAACUGAGGGGGGCUGCUCCUAGUACGAGAGGACCGGAGUGGACGCAUCACUGGUGUUCGGGUUGUCAUGCCAAUGGCACUGCCCGGUAGCUAAAUGCGGAAGAGAUAAGUGCUGAAAGCAUCUAAGCACGAAACUUGCCCCGAGAUGAGUUCUCCCUGACCCUUUAAGGGUCCUGAAGGAACGUUGAAGACGACGACGUUGAUAGGCCGGGUGUGUAAGCGCAGCGAUGCGUUGAGCUAACCGGUACUAAUGAACCGUGAGGCUUAACCUUACAACGCCGAAG